GACGUAGGGCGCGAGCGUUGUCCGGAUUUAUUGGGCGUAAAGAGCUCGUAGGCGGCUUGUCGCGUCGUCCGUGAAAACCCGAGGCUCAACUUCGGGCUUGCGGUCGAUACGGGCAGGCUGGAGUUCGGUAGGGGAGACUGGAAUUCCUGGUGUAGCGGUGAAAUGCGCAGAUAUCAGGAGGAACACCGGUGGAGAAGGCGGGUCUCUGGGCCGAUACUGACGCUGAGGAGCGAAAGCGUGGGGAGCGAACAGG
rnacentral:rRNA from 1 species